AUUGAACGCUGGCGGCAGGCCUAACACAUGCAAGUCGAACGGUAACAGGAAGCAGCUUGCUGCUUUGCUGACGAGUGGCGGACGGGUGAGUAAUGUCUGGGAAACUGCCCGAUGGAGGGGGAUAACUACUGGAAACGGUAGCUAAUACCGCAUAACGUCGCAAGACCAAAGAGGGGGACCUUAGGGCCUCUUGCCAUCGGCUGUGCCCAGAUGGGAUUAGCUAGUAGGUGGGGUAACGGCUCACCUAGGCGACGAUCCCUAGCUGGUCUGAGAGGAUGACCAGCCACACUGGAACUGAGACACGGUCCAGACUCCUACGGGAGGCAGCAGUGGGGAAUAUUGCACAAUGGGCGAAAGCCUGAUGCAGCCAUGCCGCGUGUAUGAAGAAGGCCUUCGGGUUGUAAAGUACUUUCAGCGGGGAGGAAGGGAGUAAAGUUAAUACCUUUGCUCAUUGACGUUACCCGCAGAAGAAGCACCGGCUAACUCCGUG
rnacentral:rRNA from 1 species